UACGUAGGGUGCGAGCGUUAAUCGGAAUUACUGGGCGUAAAGGGUGCGCAGGCGGCUCCGCAUGUCGGGCGUGAAAGCCCCGGGCUCAACCUGGGAAUUGCAUUCGAGACUGAAUAGCUGGGGUACGGUAGAGGGAAGCGGAAUUUCCGGUGUAGCGGUGAAAUGCGUAGAUAUCGGAAGGAACACCAGUGGCGAAAGCGGCUUCCUGGUCCAGCACCGACGUCAGGCACGAAAGCGUGGGGAGCAAACAGG
rnacentral:rRNA from 1 species